GGUAACUCCUUCUUCCUCUCCCUUCUUUCGGUUGUCUUGCCCUGCUCCUCCUCGUCGUUUUUCCCCUCCUUAACGGUGUUAUUGGUUUCACAGCACCACCUUUGCGCCUAGCCGCGCCGCUGAGCCACCGCCUUCGCCGCCGCCUCCGCGAGUCUCUUCGCCACCCGCACAACACCACCUUCGUCAGCUCAAUCGACCGUCGCUGCCGCGCCGCAAAGUCUACCGCCGGCCAGCCUCCUCCUCAUUCUCUCCUUGUGGUGGAGAAUUCUCCGUAGGCGACUUCUGAAUUAUUAAAGUGGUCUUGCAGUUUGUUUACACAAG